GACGAACGCUGGCGGCGUGCUUAACACAUGCAAGUCGAACGAAGUGGCGAACGGGUGAGUAACGCGUAAUAAACCUGCCCUUCAGAGGGGGACAACAGUUGGAAACGAAUGCUAAUCCCGCAUACUGAAGGAGGGGAUUGCGUCUGAUUAGCUAGUUGGAGGGGUAACGGCCCACCAGGGCGAUGAUCAGUAGCCGGUCGGAGAGGAAGAACGGCCACAUUGGGACGUAGACACGGCCCAGACUCCUACGGGAGGCAGCAGUGGGGAAUCUUCGGAAAUGGACGAAAGUCUGACGGAGCAACGCCGCGGGAGUGAUGACGGCCUUCGGGUUGUAAAGCUCUGUUAAUCGGGACGCGGUACCGGAAGAGAAAGCCACGGCUAACUACGUGCCAGCAGCCGCGGUAAUAC
rnacentral:rRNA from 1 species